AUGCGGGCCCUUUUUUGGAACAUCCGCGGCUUCGGUCAUGAUGGCCGACGCCGCCAACUAGUCGAAUACAUGUGUGACGAACACAUUGACAUCAUUGCGAUCCAGGAAACCUUGCGUACUGAGUUCUCCCUCCAUGAGCUUGACUGCCUCAGCUCUCACCUCUUCGCCUGGCAUUGGCUUCCUUCUAGUGGGACCACGGGCCACUCCGGUGGCAUCCUUUUAGGGGUUAAGGAUGCCACCUUCGAGGUGGGCGGCAUGCACCGGGGCGAAUUCUUCGUUAGCAUGGAGAUUCUUGAGCAAGCUCUGAACAUCAAAUGGGAGGUCGUGGUUGUCUAUGGUCCGGCGGAUCACCGCCGUUCCCCGACCUUCCUUGCGGAGCUCCACCAAAAGAUCUCCGCCUCCCUCCUCCCAGUAGUUGUGGGCGGAGAUUUUAACCUCAUCCGUUCUCCGGACGAGAAUAAUAAUGAUAGGAUUAACCUCCCGCGGAUGUAG
rnacentral:rRNA from 1 species